CGUUAAUCGCUCUUCCUAAAACGACUGCCGCCGUCGCCUCGAGACGUUGUGACCUUCGGGCGCGGCGUUCUCGUGCGGCGUCGGCGUCCGCGAGGAAUGC
rnacentral:misc_RNA from 1 species